UCCCAGCGGUCCAAGUCGCAGCCACAUUUGUUGGGUCUAAAACAUUCGUAGCUUGCCUUACAAGUCUUUUGUGAAAUCGGGACUCUUAAGGUUCCGUCGGGCAAAAGAUACUGUUUGGCUAGAGACCGGGAGAUGUAAAGAGUACGGAUAGGGUAGUGGUUAAAUACGUUGAUCCUUUCCGGACUAACGACAGCGAAGGCACUUUACAAGCACGGAUCUGACAGUGAGGAAUGAAGGCUAGGGGC
rnacentral:rRNA from 1 species